rnacentral:lncRNA from 1 species
GAAGAGAGAAACAGAGGCAUGGCCUGUGUAAGAAAACAAAUGCUAGUUUGGGUUUUAUCUUCCAAAAGCAUCGAUAUUUACUACAAAACAGAAGAUUCUUUUAACCAGUCUCCAACACAGGUUGUAAGAAGCUGAGUUAGUCAAGUUCCCAACAACUGCAGGGCCAAGGUGGAGAGGAGGCCCCUUCGGGGAUUUCCAACUCACCCAAGGGCACGUUCGUGUACAGAGCAGCCAGGAGGAGCCACUUGAACCCACACAGCUGGCCGCUGGGAAGCCGUGGGGUAGGAACACAUCCCCAGUCACCCUGGCAUUAGAAACAGGAGCAUCUGUUCCCUGGCAUAGCUGGAAAAUCAAUCCUCCACUGGAAUGGAAUGCAGCAGGGGACAGCAUGUCAAGCAGACUGCCUAGAACCCGACCACCUUGAAGGACCUCGAGUGGGGAGCAGGUGCAGUUCAUGCCACAGGCAGACAGCUACUGCAAAGACAAGAGAUCGGGGGCUGCCUUUCCCUUACAGCCUACUACAACUCCAAACUACGGAACAGUGAGUAAGAGACUGAAAAACCAGGAGAAAUAGAGCAGACAAGUGGGAGUCAACAGAUACAACUGAUUUGAUUUAAACAAUUCUUAAAAAUAAAAUGAAGCAAUCUUGAUUCUGC